AGAUGAUGGGUGAAUUUGGGAUUAUGUCUACUAUUAUUACUUAUAAUACAAUGUUGGAUUUGUUUUGUAGAGAAGGUGAAGUAGAACAGGCUUUGGAUCUUUUAUCAGAAAUGGAGAGAAGGGAGUGCUAUCCAAAUGAUGUAACAUACAAUAUCUUGAUUAAUGGGUUAUCAAAGAAAGGGGAGUUUAACCAUGCUAGAGGUUUGAUUGGAGAGAUGUUGAAUAAAGGACUGAGGGUUUCAGCUCAUACAUAUAAUCCUCUAAUUUAUGGUUACUGUAUUAAGGGAAUGGUUGUGGAGGCAUUG
rnacentral:misc_RNA from 1 species